rnacentral:rRNA from 1 species
AUGGCCAAGCUGCACCCACCCACGGCGACGGCGGCGGCGGCGAGUUUUUGCUGGAACCGAGGGGCUUUGCUGGAACCGGCUGGUGGAUGUGCUACAAGGUCGGUGCCUCGCCGGGGAAGCUACAUCGAGCAGCAAGGAGUGUUGUAUCCAACGCAGUUCGAACGUCGGGAGCUGCAAUCGUGCACGCCGGAGCUGCAACCGGCUACUGGGGGAGCUGCAAGAGAGGGUGGCCAUUUUUUGCUGAACCAAUUUUUUGUUUUUGCUGGAACCGGUGUAUUUUUUUGCUGGAACCAAGAUAAUUUUUUGCUUCAUCGGAUGCAGAGCUCUCAAAUGCUCAUGUCGUUUUUGUUGUCACCUAAGUUUGUUUUUGCUAGAAGCAUUUUCUGA